ACGUAGGGGGCAAGCGUUGUCCGGAAUUAUUGGGCGUAAAGCGCGCGCAGGCGGUCAUUUAAGUUUGGUGUUUAAUUCCAGGGCUCAACCCUGGGUCGCACUGAAAACUGGGUGACUUGAGUACAGAAGAGGAGAGUGGAAUUCCACGUGUAGCGGUGAAAUGCGUAGAUAUGUGGAGGAACACCAGUGGCGAAGGCGACUCUCUGGGCUGUAACUGACGCUGAGGCGCGAAAGCGUGGGGAGCAAACAGGA
rnacentral:rRNA from 1 species